rnacentral:rRNA from 1 species
GAGUUUGAUCCUGGCUCAGAUUGAACGCUAGCGGCAGGCUUAAUACAUGCAAGUCAGGGGCAGCACGGUUAGCAAUAACUGGUGGCGACCGGCGCACGGGUGCGUAACACGUAUACAAUCUACCUUAAACAGGGGGAUAGCCUUUCGAAAGAGAGAUUAAUACCCCGUAAUAAAUUGAACGGCAUCGUUUGAUUUUGAAAGCUCCGGCGGUUUGAGAUGAGUAUGCGUCUGAUUAGCUAGUUGGUGAGGUAACGGCUCACCAAGGCGACGAUCAGUAGGGGACCUGAGAGGACUAACCCCCACACUGGUACUGAGACACGGACCAGACUCCUACGGGAGGCAGCAGUAAGGAAUAUUGGUCAAUGGAGGCAACUCUGAACCAGCCAUGCCGCGUGCAGGAUGACGGCCCUAUGGGUUGUAAACUGCUUUUAUACAAGAGAAAACCCUGGUACGUGUACCAAGUUGAUAGUAUUGUAAGAAUAAGCAUCGGCUAACUUCGUG